CUCGCCUACGGGACGCAGCAGUGAGGAAUAUUGGUCAAUGGGCGAGAGCCUGAACCAGCCAAGUCGCGUGAGGGAAGACGGUCCUAUGGAUUGUAAACCUCUUCUGCCGGGGAGCAAAAAGCGGUACGUGUACCGCAUCGAGAGUACCCGGAGAAAAAGCAUCGGCUAACUCCGUGCCAGCAGCCGCGGUAAUACGGAGGAUGCGAGCGUUAUCCGGAUUUAUUGGGUUUAAAGGGUGCGCAGGCGGCGAGUUAAGUCAGCGGUAAAAUUUCGGGGCUCAACACCGCCAAGCC
rnacentral:rRNA from 1 species